rnacentral:rRNA from 1 species
CAAGUCGAACGGCAGCACGGGAGCAAUCCUGGUGGCGAGUGGCGAACGGGUGAGUAAUACAUCGGANCNUGCCCAGUAGUGGGGGAUAACCCGGCGAAAGCCGGACUAAUACCGCGUACGACCUACGGGUGAAAGCAGGGGAUCGCAAGACCUUGCGCUAUCGGAGCGGCCGAUGUCAGAUUAGCUAGUUGGUGGGGUAACGGCCUACCAAGGCGACGAUCUGUAGCUGGUCUGAGAGGACGACCAGCCACACUGGGACUGAGACACGGCCCAGACUCCUACGGGAGGCAGCAGUGGGGAAUUUUGGACAAUGGGCGCAAGCCUGAUCCAGCCAUGCCGCGUGCGGGAAGAAGGCCUUCGGGUUGUAAACCGCUUUUGUCAGGGAAGAAACGCUCCGGGUUAAUACCUCGGAGUAAUGACGGUACCUGAAGAAUAAGCACCGGCUAACUACGUGCCAGCAGCCGCGGUAAUACGUAGGGUGCAAGCGUUAAUCGGAAUUACUGGGCGUAAAGCGUGCGCAGGCGGCUUUGCAAGACAGAUGUGAAAUCCCCGGGCUUAACCUGGGAACUGCAUUUGUGACUGCAUGGCUGGAGUGCGGCAGAGGGGGAUGGAAUUCCGCGUGUAGCAGUGAAAUGCGUAGAUAUGCGGAGGAACACCGAUGGCGAAG